UAUUCAAAAACCAAAGCUAGCCAGCAAAUAGAUGGAUUUCUCAGGUUUGAACAAUGCAUGCCAAAGUUUAUUUAUUUCAUGAUUUUGUGUUGGUUCAGGAGUCUGGCAUCAUCUGUGAUGGAGCUUUUGAGGGAAUCAGGAUUUGCACCCCAAGAAUACUGUGAACGGAGAGAUGAACUUCUUGGAUCCCUGUAUGACCUUGCAAAGCAAAUUAUAGAAGCAAAAAUAUCAGGACCAUGGUGUGCUAGCCCAAGAAUACUGUGAACGGAGAGAUGAACUUCUUGGAUCCCUGUAUGACCUUGCAAAGCAAAUUAUAGAAGCAAAAAUAUCAGGACCAUGGUGUGCUAGCCCAAGAAUACUGUGAACGGAGAGAUGAACUUCUUGGAUCCCUGUAUGACCUUGCAAAGCAAAUUAUAGAAGCAAAAAUAUCAGGUUUGGUCUAAUUCUACGCCACUAUUUUCUUAAUGUUCUUCUUGUGCUUUUAUAAUUUGCAAGUUCAUCAUGUCUCUUAAUUUCCUUGAGAACAACCAAAGCUAGCCAGCAAAUAGAUGGAUUCCUAAGGUUUUAAACAAUGCAUGCCAAAGUUUAUUUAUUUCAUGAUUAUGUGUUGCUUCAGGAGUCUGCAUCAUCUGUGAUGGAGCUUUUGAGAGAAUCAGGAUCUGCAAGCAUGCCAAUGAAAUCUAAUCUAUGGUCUCAGCUGGAAGGCCUCACAGAUAUGCUACUGGAGGGAUAUAUUGGUCUAUUAACUGCCAAAUUUGAACAU